UACGGAGGGUGCAAGCGUUGUUCGGAAUUAUUGGGCGUAAAGCGCGCGCAGGCGGCUCGCAAAGUCUGGUGUGAAAUCCCUCGGCUCAACCGAGGACGUGCAUUGGAUACUGGCGAGCUUGAGUCUCGGAGAGGGUGGCGGAAUUCCCAGUGUAGAGGUGAAAUUCGUAGAUAUUGGGAGGAACACCAGUGGCGAAGGCGGCCACCUGGACGAUGACUGACGCUGAGGCGCGAAAGCGUGGGUAGCAAAC
rnacentral:rRNA from 1 species